rnacentral:rRNA from 1 species
GCCUACGGCCAUACCAGCCUGGGUACGCCCGAUCUCGUCUGAUCUCGGAAGCGAAGCAGGGUCGGGCCUGGUUAGUACUUGGAUGGGAGACCGCCUGGGAAUACCAGGUGCUGUAAGCA